GCCUACGGGGGGCUGCAGUGGGGAAUCUUAGACAAUGGGCGCAAGCCUGAUCUAGCCAUGCCGCGUGAGCGAUGAAGGCCUUAGGGUUGUAAAGCUCUUUUGGCGGGGACGAUAAUGACGGUACCCGCAGAAUAAGCCCCGGCUAACUUCGUGCCAGCAGCCGCGGUAAUACGAAGGGGGCUAGCGUUGUUCGGAAUUACUGGGCGUAAAGCGCACGUAGGCGGAUGUGCCAGUCAGGGGUGAAAUCCCGAGGCUCAACCUCGGAACUGCCUCCGAUACAGCACGUCUCGAGUCCGGAAGAGGUGAGUGGAAUUCCUAGUGUAGAGGUGAAAUUCGUAGAUAUUAGGAAGAACACCAGUGGCGAAGGCGGCUCACUGGUCCGGUACUGACGCUGAGGUGCGAAAGCGUGGGGAGCAAACAGGAUUAGAUACCCGUGUAGUCC
rnacentral:rRNA from 1 species